rnacentral:rRNA from 1 species
CCUACGGGUGGCAGCAGUGGGGAAUAUUGGGCAAUGGGGGGAACCCUGAUCCAGCCAUGCCGCGUGUGUGAAGAAGGCCCUCGGGUUGUAAAGCACUUUCAGUGAGGAAGAACGCCUGGUGGUUAAUACCCAUCAGGAAAGACAUCACUCACAGAAGAAGCACCGGCUAACUCCGUGCCAGCAGCCGCGGUAAUACGGAGGGUGCGAGCGUUAAUCGGAAUUACUGGGCGUAAAGCGCGCGUAGGUGGCUUGAUAAGCCGGUUGUGAAAGCCCCGGGCUCAACCUGGGAACGGCAUCCGGAACUGUCAAGCUAGAGUGCAGGAGAGGAAGGUAGAAUUCCCGGUGUAGCGGUGAAAUGCGUAGAGAUCGGGAGGAAUACCAGUGGCGAAGGCGGCCUUCUGGACUGGCACUGACACUGAGGUGCGAAAGCGUGGGUAGCAAACAGGAUUAGAUACCCGUGUAGUC